rnacentral:rRNA from 1 species
CUACGGGUUGCAGCAGUGAGGAAUUUUGCGCAAUGGGGGAAACCCUGACGCAGCAACGCCGCGUGAGUGAUGAAGGCUUUCGGGUCGUAAAGCUCUGUCAAGUGGGAAGAACCUGAUCCAUACUAAUAUCGUGGAUCACUGACGGUACCACUGAAGGAAGCACCGGCUACCUCCGUGCCAGCAGCCGCGGUAAUACGGAGGGUGCAAGCGUUAUUCGGAAUCACUGGGCGUAAAGGGCGCGCAGGCGGUUUGGUAAGUCAGAUGUGAAAGCCCGGGGCUCAACCCCGGAAGUGCAUUUGAUACUGCCUAACUUGAGUAUGGGAGAGGGAAGUGGAAUUCCUGGUGUAGAGGUGAAAUUCGUAGAUAUCAGGAGGAACACCGGUGGCGAGGGCGACUUCCUGGACCAAUACUGACGCUGAGGCGCGAAGGCGUGGGGAGCAAACAGGAUUAGAUACCCGGGUAGUC